rnacentral:lncRNA from 1 species
GUGUGUAUAUUUAUCCAGCCACAGCGUUGUGCUCAGUGCUGAGACUGAGGAGUAAAUCUGACCUUCUCAUUCUAUGGAAGUGCACAGCCUAAGUAAGGACAGAAAGAAACAUGAACCAAUUAAACAUACUUAAAAUAUAUUACAUCAUGACUAUCACCCAGAAAAACAUUCUGCCAAAAACUCUUGUCUAAUUGGUAAUUAUAAUCAUCGGGUAUCUUCCAUAAUAAUAACCGAAGUUAUACAUUAUAAUGAGCAAAUUCAUAUUCAUCAUUCCAUUUUUUCUGCAAAACAACCCUGUAAGGUGAGAGCUAUUUUUAUCCCACUUUGCAUAUGGGAACUAUUUUAAAACUCUAAGCACACAGUAUUUAUCCCUCCCUGUGUACAAUAAGUCACAAGAAAAGCAAAAUCGGUUGACCUUUUGCAGUGGCCAUUCUCCCCAGGGGAGUUUGAGGUCCUGAGUAACCCUGGGGAAACCAACCAGGCUUGGACCCUCUUCCCAAAUCUACUGAUAAAAGUUAAGGCCUGCAUUUUGCUAAUUAUAUCAUUGCUGUCUUAAAUAUUUAAUAUGCAUUCAUCAUUGAAUCCUCACAAGACUAAUGAAGGAGGCACUAAUAUGACCCCCGCCACACACAGCAUUUUCCCGAGGCUCAAAAUAGUAAGCAUCUAACCAAAGGUAACAAAGCUAGAAGUGGAGGGAUUUGAACCUAAGUAGUCAGGGUUUAUAGUUCACACUCAAAACCAUGGGUAGGCAAACUAUGGUUGUUUUUGUACAGCCACAAGCUAAGAGUGGCUUUUACAUUUUUACAGACUUGUAAAAACAAACAAAAACCAAAGGAUAAUAUGUGAUCGAGACUAUCUAUGGCCCACAAAACCUAAAAUACUUACUACUUGGCCAUUUACAGAACAAAAGUACUGAUCCCUGCUUUAAACCACUAACCUACACAGACUUUCAAAUAAGUGCUGGGCUAACUUCUGAUAACCUUCUGUCUGAAGCACAUCCUCAGAGACACGUUUGAUUCUGAUAGGAGUGACAGGAGGUGAUGGACAUUUUUGCAUUAAAAUCCUAGUAAGUGAUAAAUGUGUGCAUAGAUCAUUCUUUUGACUCUACACUUUAUCUAUGUCUUUGAGUUUUAGGUUCAAAGAACUGUUUUUAUUUGCUUGUCACUAUUAUGAAUGCUUGGACCUGUUUGAUUUUCAGGUAGCAUCUCCACUCCUAGAAAUAUCUCAAGGUUUUGUUCUAAAUAAAAGUGCAGAGUAGAGGUGGUUUAAUAAUCAUCACUUCUUGUCACAUAAAGGCUGUGACUCCAGAGUUUGUUGCAGAAGAAGUGUUGUGAAAGAAAUAAUUAAUAUGAUGGGUUUCGAAUGCUGUGCUCCUUGAGAAGGUCGCUCACUCUCUGAGCUGGUCUAUUCAUCUGAGUAAUGGGUCGCUGAGGGGCAAGGCCAAGGAGAAGGAAAGGAACUCCUCUGCAUGUCACUCUCUGACUCCUUAGUCCUUCCUCUCCUUUUUUUCUGAAAUGAGGUCCAUUUCCAAAGCUCUGCAACCUGGGGCCUGUGGAAACUUAAGAUCACUUGUGAGUUCCUAGAUACUACAUGCAGAAUUUGGCAUCUAUGAGCAUGUAGAAGUGGAUAAUUUUUGACAGUCUUCAAUAUAUUCUUGUUUAUAUAAUAUUCUUAAGUAUAUUCCUAAAAAUAAUUAAGAACCAUAAGCUGUGCUAGGGAAGUGGGCUCAUGGCCUUAUGUUAGUCUACUUGAAUAAAAAGACAGUCAAUGAGGUCAGUUUUCAGGUUUGGGUAUUUUGAUUACCUUUCCCCUUAGUUGUUUUAAAUGAGCAAAGGAGUAAUGGGGUUUUCCACCACAUAACAGAAUAUCUAUGAGUCAUCAGUGUCCUGAGAAGCUAAACGUCCUACUAAGGAUCCUGCAAAGGGAAAACAGAAGAGGAACUUGCACUUUUUGAGAACUUGCUGUGUGCCAUAAGCCUAAGUCCCUAUGUGGGAAGGAUUCUACCCACACAUGACAGAGGAGGAGACUGAAGCAUGAAAAAGAAAUGGCGUUUUGCUGGAGAAAGCAGCAUAGCGGAAUGUAAAGCGGUAAAGCGUGUAUGCUCUGGAGCCACAGACCUAGAUGGUGAAGUCUAGCUCUGGUACUUGACAGAUCCCAUUCUCCAUCAUCUCCACCCUGCUCUGUGACCCAGUCGGCUGCUCUGCUUGAACGACAUCAACAAGCUUCCUGCAUCCUCAUGUCUAGCUGAACUCAACCAGUGGGAAGUACCAGCAGGAGAUCAAAAGAAAGGAGCAAAGUACAGUCAAGAUGUUUAUUUAUUUCUCUGUUCUUUUCUGCCAAAGGUACACAAAAUCAGACACUAGUUAAAGGCAUUCAGGACAGAUUUUAUAUGGUAAUAACUAUCGCAAUGGAGUAGAGAGUCCAGUGUGAACUGAACUUCACCAAAACAAAAAGCUGGAGUCUUUUUAAAGGCUGGGGUAUGCUAGGGGAAAGGCACUGACAGGAAGAAGAACAGGGCUUGGUCCAUGGGCUUAGGCCAUCUGAGUCUGUUAACUGGUGUUUAUCAAAGUUGGGUUCCUGAUCCCUGCAGAGACUAGGAGACAAGGGCCCUAUCUUCAGGUGCUGGCUGGAACAAAUAGUAAAUUCUUUUGGCAGGCUUUCCCAGGCAGGAACCUAAGGGGACUGGAAUCAUAAUCCUAGGGAUGUGACCUUGAGCUGUUAGACUAUGCUAGGGUUUACAUCUCUUCGUGCAGAGGAUUGGAUGGAGUCCUUAAGGGUCAAGACAGUUCUCUUUUCAGUUCUCAUUUCCCUAACAGGUCCACUGUGGGAUGGCUGCUUCUCUUGACCCAUGGUUUCAGCUCCUGACAGGUAGCCACUCCAUGCAGCCCUUCUCUCAUUGGGUUCUGGUGACCAUCCUCUCCUCUUGCCUCUUUGGGUAUAACAGUGGAUAGUGAUACUCUUGAUAAUAAUACUAUUCCUCAUGGUUUUCCUAUACUGUGACCACACUUUUGUAAAGAGUGAUUUAAUAAAUAUGCAGUAACUGUGGUUCUCAAUGUUCUCCCAUAUCUCUUGAAGCAUUUUGGCAUGCUUUGGUUGACUUACAACUGCUGCACCUGCAUCCUGUGCCUGCAAACAUUUUCUGGAACCUUGGAAGUCUCCUUUGCCCACAACUCUAGGAGGCCAGCUGUGCUGGGAAACUAACAUCCUCCACCCAUGAGCAGAUCUCCAACAAUGGCUCUCAGGAGUUGGUGAAUGAAUACCCAGCUCCCUCAUCCUUGGGUGGUAUCAUGCUAAGGCAUGUGUUUUCAACAACUAUGCACAGAGUUUUCCUAGGUAAUAAACUCUAGUCACCCAUUCUCAGUUAUCUAUUCUUGCCUAACAAACCAACCUAAACUUAGACUGACUUAAUACAAUAAACAUUUUAUUUGCUUAUAGUUCUGUGGAUCCGCAAUUUUGGUUGGGUACAGCUGGGUGCUUCUUCUACUGAUCUCAUCUGGGAUUAGUCAUUUGGCUACAUCACUUGGGGGAUCAAGUGGCAGCAGGUUUCUCUAGAGGACCUCAGGUUCCACAUGGUGUCAUCCUCUGGGAGGCUAGUGUGGGCUUCUUCCCAGGGUCAUCUCAGAACAUUUCUAAGAGGACUAGUAAAUAAACAGCAAGACCUCUUGAGGACUAGCCCCGAUAUCACUUCCACUAUGUUCUGUUGAUCAAAGCAAAUCACAAAGCCAGACAAGAUUCAAGGGUUAGGGAAAUAGUCUUGCUCUUCAGAAUUCACAAUCAUUUUCAAUCUACCAUACACACUAGGACAGCUGCCUUUCCUCUCCCAUUAGAGGAUAGCAGUAGGAUAGUUGCCUUUCCUCCCCAAUACAGAGGAAAGCUGUACUUUCCUCUGUCACACCCCCAUUCCCCUACUAGCAACCUCUUCACCUUCCAAAUAAGAAGUUGCACUAAAAUUCUUGUCUCAACGUCUGGGUGAACCUAAACUCUCUUAAAAUUAUUUUAAUUUCAGUGAUUCAUUUGUUUAUUGCUGAUAUAGAAUGGUAUUAGAUAUUAUCAUACAAUUUAGUGCAAGGCUUGAAAAGGGCACAGGGUUUUAGGAAUCCCCAUAUAAUGUUGCCAGUAAGAGGUGAGGGUGUCUCACUGUGAUAAAUAUUACUAGUGCCCAUCCAAAUUUCUGAUGAUUUUUCCCUUCCAUUUGUGCAAGAGAAUUAUGCUUCCCACACCCCUUGAAGUUAAACAUGGCCAUAUGGUUUGCUUUGGCCAAUAAACCAUGGGUGGAUGUGGUACAGUGUACGUAUGCUUGCCUCAAGAAAGAGGGCAUAGGCCGGGUGCGGUGGCUCAUGUCUGUAAUCCCAGCACUUUGGGAGGCCAAGGUGGGUGGAUCACC